GAGUUUGAUCCCUGGCUCAGAUUGAACGCUGGCGGCAUGCCUUACACAUGCAAGUCGAACGGCAGCACGGGUGCUUGCACCUGGUGGCGAGUGGCGAACGGGUGAGGUAAUACAUCGGAACAUGUUCCUGUAGUGGGGGAUAGCCCGGCGAAAGCCGGAUUAAUACCGCAUACGAUCUAUGGAUGAAAGCGGGGGACCUUCGGGCCUCGCGCUAUAGGGUUGGCCGAUGGCUGAUUAGCUAGUUGGUGGGGUAAAGGCCUACCAAGGCGACGAUCAGUAGCUGGUCUGAGAGGACGACCAGCCACACUGGGACUGAGACACGGCCCAGACUCCUACGGGAGGCAGCAGUGGGGAAUUUUGGACAAUGGGCGAAAGCCUGAUCCAGCACAUGCCGCGUGUGUGAAGAAGGCCUUCGGGUUGUAAAGCACUUUUGUCCGGAAAGAAAUCCUUUGGGCUAAUACCCCGGGGGGAUGACGGUACCGGAAGAAUAAGCACCGGCUAACUACGUGCCAGCAGCCGCGGUAAUACGUAGGGUGCGAGCGUUAAUCGGAAUUACUGGGCGUAAAGCGUGCGCAGGCGGUUUGUUAAGACCGAUGUGAAAUCCCCGGGCUCAACCUGGGAACUGCAUUGGUGACUGGCAAGCUAGAGUAUGGCAGAGGGGGGGUAGAAUUUCCACGUGUAGCAGUGAAAUGCGUAGAGAUGUGGAGGAAUACCGAUGGCGAAGGGCAGCCCCCUGGGCCAAUACUGACGCUCAUGCACGAAAGCGUGGGGAGCAAACAGGAUUAGAUACCCUGGUAGUCCACGCCCUAAACGAUGUCAACUAGUUGUUGGGGAUUCAUUUCCUUAGUAACGUAGCUAACCGCGUGAAGUUUGACCGCCUGGGGAGUACGGUCGCAAGAUUAAAACUCAAAGGAAUUGACGGGGACCCGCACAAGCGGUGGAUGAUGUGGAUUAAUUCGAUGCAACGCGAAAAACCUUUA
rnacentral:rRNA from 1 species